UACGUAGGGUGCGAGCGUUGUCCGGAAUUAUUGGGCGUAAAGGGCGCGUAGGCGGCCUGGUCAGUCGGAUGUGAAAGCCCGGGGCUCAACCCCGGAACGGCAUCCGAGACGGCCAGGCUGGAGACCGGGAGAGGAGAGUGGAAUAGCCAGUGUAGGGGUGAAAUUCGUAGAUAUUGGCUGGAACACCGGUGGCGAAAGCGGCUCUCUGGCCCGGUUCUGACGCUGAGGCGCGAAAGCGUGGGGAGCAAACAGG
rnacentral:rRNA from 1 species